CAGUAGCCACGGUAAUACGAAGGGUGCAAGCGAUAAUCGGAAUUACUGGGCGUAAAGCGCGCGUAGGUGGUUCAUUAAGUUGGAUGUGAAAGCCCUGGGCUCAACCUGGGAACUGCAUCCAAAACUGGUGAGCUAGAGUACGGUAGAGGGUAGUGGAAUUUCCUGUGUAGCGGUGAAAUGCGUAGAUAUAGGAAGGAACACCAGUGGCGAAGGCGACUACCUGGACUGAUACUGACACUGAGGUGCGAAAGCGUGGGGAGCAAACAGGAUUAGAUACCCCCGUAGUCCCUGUCUCUUAUAC
rnacentral:rRNA from 1 species